CUUUCUGUAAAUGGAGAUAGCGGUCUGCAUUUUGAUUGAACAAUGAUCAAAAUUUAUCACCAAAACCUGACAACCUUAAUGCUUUCAUGAGUCGAUAUAGACAUGCUGCUGAGCGAUGUGUCUCUGUCUCUCAGCUAAUUUAAAGGUUGCUAAAUAAAAACUGAAUCCUAAAGGUAAAUGUAUUACAGCAAAAAGUAAGACUCAGGGAUGUUGUAUGCAAGUACUGCAACAUCCAUUAUGAGGUUUCUCAUAAAAUUUGCUUAACUCAAGCUGUCAUCUCAGAACGCUCACACAACAUGGAUGUAGAUCCAAAAGCUUUCAUACACGACUCUCUCACCUGACAUACAUUUGAUCAAAUAUCUGUAUACAUAAAAAGUCACAGAGCUUCAAGCUCUGUGACUUUUGAAUUUUAUUUGUUUUACCUACAAAAAGCAAUUUGUCAGGGUUCCUGUAUGUGUGUUGAGUGUGAGUGAUGCAUCUUUUCCAGCGAAGAUCUUGGUGAAGAACCUGGGCAGCCUACACAGGUGGAUCUCAUCAGCCUCAUCAGUGUUGGGGAUAAAGGAGCAGCAGAACCUUCACUCAGUGCUGGAUGAUUAAUGUGCACCGGUCAGUCUCUGGAUUUUUUCCAACUGGAUUGGUUCUAUUGUUUUCUCCUCCUGUGGAUCUUACCUGCAAGUCUGCCUACCUGCUGCUCCCUCCACACCACUCCAUCGAUUCUCUGGCUCCCAGUCAUCACCAUCCUCACGCUCGUCUCGGGAACCUCCGUGAACCAUUCUCCACACUGGACCUUGGGCACAUUCCCCCACGCUUCAACCAGAACCAUUCUAAAGCACCUCCGAUUGCACAACACAACCGCUCCCGGAAGGAUCAAGGAGAAUUGUCUGUCUAUUUUUCAAGAAAAUAAAACCCAUACCUUUA